rnacentral:snRNA from 1 species
UGGCCUCUUCAACCAAGAAGAU